UACGGAGGGACCAAGCGUUGUCCGGAAUCAUUGGGCGUAAAGAGCGUGUAGGCGGCUUGUUAAGUCUUGCGUGAAAUCUCGGGGCUCAACCCCGAGCGGUCGUGAGAAACUGGCAGGCUAGAGUGCGGGAGAGGAGAGUGGAAUUCCUGGUGUAGCGGUGAAAUGCGCAGAUAUCAGGAAGAACACCCGUGGCGAAGGCGGCUCUCUGGAACGCAACUGACGCUGAGACGCGAAAGCGUGGGGAGCAAACAGG
rnacentral:rRNA from 1 species